AGAAUCAACGCUGGCGGCGUGCCUAAUACAUGCAAGUCGAACGCGAAAGUCCCGCAAGGGAUGAGUAGAGUGGCAAACGGGUGAGUAACACGUGGGUGACCUGCCUUCGAGCGGGGGAUACGUCCGAAAGGGCGCUAAUACCGCAUGACAUCCUGCCUUUGAAGAGGCGGAGAUCAAAGCUGGGGAUCGCAAGACCUGGCACUUGAAGAGGGGCCCGCGCCUGAUUAGCUAGUUGGUGGGGUAACGGCUCACCAAGGCAACGAUCAGUA
rnacentral:rRNA from 1 species